GCGGGAAUGGCGGAAUUGGCAGACGCGCUAGAUUCAGGUUCUAGUGAGCGUUUAGCUCAUGCAGGUUCAAGUCCUGUUUCCCGCACCA
rnacentral:tRNA from 1 species